GACAGACCGCGGCCAAAUUUCGGAGGGUAAGUUCGUAAAUUUGGGAGGAUGUUAAAAAAACGGUAGCACAAGAAUCAAAAUAAAAACCCCUCUGCCAUCGCAUUAUCGCGCGCAGCUGCACGAACAAAACGCAGAAAAUACAUUUUCUGCGCCGAGUCUGCCCCUUUCCCUCUCACUCGCAGCUUUGCUUCUGCUUUGGUCUCUUCCUCUUCCUACUGCCUAGUAUACAACAAGAACAAGGUUGAGGUCGAUACUUGACAUUUCACAAAUGACGAACAAAACAUCCAAAAUUGGACAAGAUUUGUUGGUGAAUAUUCUGUCAACUCUGCCUCCGAAAUCUCUGAUGCGAUUCAAGUGCGUUGCUAAAUGGUGGCAUGCUCUCAUCAACGACCCCAGGUUCGUCGACAAGCACCUCUCCCAUUCCUUGCUGGACGAUCAAUCCACUCGUGUUUUUUUUAAAGAGAAUGUUAGUCCCUCCUACAGAGGACCCAAAAGGUGACAAAAUUCAAUACGUAUUCUCAGUACUUACUUUUGACAAUGUCAUUGUUGAUGAUGACGAUGAUGGCGUGCAUAAGUGUAGCACUCUUUCUGGGAUCGAGGACGUCAAUAUUCCUCUUUCUAUGAGUCUAGAGAUUGGAGAUGAUCGAUCAUUUCACGUUAUAGGUCAUUGUGAUGGGAUCAUUUGUCUAGCUCGACCUAAUUCUACUAAGGUGCUUUUGUGGAAUCCGGCAAUUCAGGAAUUCAGGGUCCUUCCCUUGGAGACAUACAUUCCAGAUUGGUUUGACGAAGUAUCCCGUAGGGAUCCUCAUCCUUGGUGGUUGGGUAUGCCUUACAUGCCACUAACAAGUCGGUUCAACGACGUUUUGGGAUUAGGCUAUGAUCCUAAAUCUAAAGAUUACAAAGUUGUCAAAAUUGGAUUUUCUGGUUCACAAUUGCAUGGCGACACAAAACAUUUGAUUAUUCAUCCUCCCAAGAUAGUAGUGUAUAUACCUUGGGAACAGAUUCAUGGAGAGAGAUCAAGCCUUGUUCUUUAGAAACGGAAACUACUUUCCUUUGGCCUGAAACUUUUCAGGUGUACUUCAAGGGGAUGUGUUAUUGGAUAGGAAGUGAGCAACAAAAGGAAUUUGUCCAUAGCUAUGAUGCCGCCUAUCAGGAGGAAGAAAAGAUUAGGCGAGUGAUCAUUUUGCUUGACAUGAGUUGUGAGGUGUUUCAAGACAUACUCUUACCACAUGAGAUGCUAGAGUUCAACGAUUUCAGAGGAGUUGGCCUUGACAUUCGUCUUAAGGUGUGGAAUGAAUCCAUCGCUCUUUUUCGCUUGAAUAUAUAUACUUUUGAGGAUGGUGAUGCACUAACCUUUGAAAUGUGGACGAUGAUUCUGGUGGUGGUGCGACCAAUGAGGGUGGUGUUUGGACAAAACACUUUGCAUCCAAGAUCCCAACGUUCUCAAUGUCCCCUGUCCACCUGCGCAACACAUUGGCAAUGUGGAAGUGCGACGAGGUUCUUCUGUUAACGGAUAAUGGAUGCAUAGUCUGCUAUAACAUCCGUACUAAAAACCUAAAAAAUCUUCCCAUUCAAACUGCUGUAAGGAUUAUUCCCUGUUUUCCUCCACCACCGUCUUAUUUUCCACUGUGCAAAGCAAAUCAUUCACCUCUUGUAUAUGUGAAGAGUAUAGUUUCGGUCAUGGAAGGCAACAAGAAGUACAAGAGUACGUUGUACUUGAUACAACAUGCAUCAAUAUGGACGUAGAAGUUGAUGAAAUCCUUUUGUUGUCGAAAUCAUGGAUGUAAACUUGGAGUCGAUAGAAAUUUAUAUGUUGUAUAAUUGAUUAUGUUUGAUUAUUGUAUUAACAAUCCGCAACUGUGAAGAAAUACAACCGUGAAAUGAAAUGAUGAGUACCC